CCGCCCGAACCCCACCGAACGCGUCCGCCGCCUCCCGAUCCCGCCCCGCGGUCCCCCCCGGGGCAUGAACCGCCCCCCGGCGGGCCGAAACCGGCAAAACCGGCUAAACCGCCCCGAUCAUGCCCAUUUUUCGGCGUUCAAACCGCCGCACGGCUACCCCCCCAUCCCGAUGCCCCCGGACCCCUGGUCCCGUGGGACCUGACGGAAACGGAAUCGGAUGCUCGGAUCAUGAGAUACGCCCAAAACCGUCUAAACCUACUGAGCGCACCCCGAACAUGCCCAUUUUUCGGCGUUCAAACCGCCGCGCGGCUACCCCCCCAUCCCGAUGCCCCCGGAACCCUGGUCCCGCGGGACCCGACGGAAACGGAAUCGGAGGCCCGGAUCAUGAGUUACGGCCCCUUCUUUGCGGCCCCCGAGGACGUGCGCUAUAGCCCCCCGGGCCACCCCCCAUCCGGCCGCACCCGCCCGAACCCCACCGAACGCGUCCGCCGCCUCCCGAUCCCGCCCCGCGGUCCCCCCCGGGGCAUGAACCGCCCCCCGGCGGGCCGAAACCGGCCAAACCGGCUAAACCGCCCCGAUCAUGCCCAUUUUUCGGCGUUCAAACCGCCGCACGGCUACCCCCCCAUCCCGAUGCCCCCGGACCCCUGGUCCCGUGGGACCUGACGGAAACGGAAUCGGAUGCUCGGAUCAUGAGAUACGCCCAAAACCGUCUAAACCUACUGAGCGCACCCCGAACAUACCCAUUUUUCGGCGUUCAAACCGCCGCGCGGCUACCCCCCCAUCCCGAUGCCCCCGGAACCCUGGUCCCGCGGGACCCGACGGAAACGGAAUCGGAGGCCCGGAUCAUGAGUUACGGCCCCUUCUUUGCGGCCCCCGAGGACGUGCGCUAUUGCCCCCCGGGCCACCCCCCAUCCGGCCGCACCCGCCCGAACCCCACCGAACGCGUCCGCCGCCUCCCGAUCCCGCCCCGCGGUCUCCCCCGGGGCGUGAACCGCCCCCCGGCGGGCCGAAACCGGCCAAACCGGCUAAACCGCCCCGAUCAUGCCCAUUUAUCGGCGUUCAAACCGCCGCACGGCUACCCCCUCAUCCCGAUGACCCCGGACCCCUGGUCCCGUGGGACCUGACGGAAACGGAAUCGGAUGCUCGGAUCAUGAGAUACGCCCAAAACCGUCUAAACCUACUGAGCGCACCCCGAACAUGCCCAUUUUUCGGCGUUCAAACCGCCGCGCGGCUACCCCCCCAUCCCGAUGCCCCCGGAACCCUGGUCCCGCGGGACCCGACGGAAACGGAAUCGGAGGCCCGGAUCAUGAGUUACGGCCCGUUCUUUGCGGCCCCCGAGGACGUGCGNNNNNNNNNNNNNNNNNNNNNNNNNNNNNNNNNNNNNNNNNNNNNNNNNNNNNNNNNNNNNNNNNNNNNNNNNNNNNNNNNNNNNNNNNNNNNNNNNNNNCGCGGUCCCCCCCGGGGCAUGAACCGCCCCCCGGCGGGCCGAAACCGGCCAAACCGGCAAAACCGCCCCGAUCAUGCCCGUUUUUCGGCGUUCAAACCGCCGCGCGGCUACCCCCCCAUCCCGAUGCCCCCGGACUCCUGGUCCCGUGGGACCUGACGGAAACGGAAUCGGAUGCCCGGAUCAUGAGAUACGCCCAAAACCGUCUAAACCUACUGAGCGCACCCCAAACAUGCCCAUUUUUCGGCGUUCAAACCGCCGCGCGGCUACAACCCCAUCCCGAUGCCCCCGGAACCCUGGUCCCGCGGGACCCGACGGAAACGGAAUCGGAGGCCCGGAUCAUGAGUUACGGCCCCUUCUUUGCGGCCCCCGAGGACGUGCGCUAUAGCCCCCCGGGCCACCCCCCAUCCGGCCGCACCCGCCCGAACCCCACCGAACGCGUCCGCCGCCUCCCGAUACCGCCCCGCGGUCCCCCCCGGGGCAUGAACCGCCCCCCGGCGGGCCGAAACCGGCCAAACCGGCAAAACCGCCCCGAUCAUGCCCGUUUUUCGGCGUUCAAACCGCCGCGCGGCUACCCCCCCAUCCCGAUGCCCCCGGACCCCUGGUCCCGUGGGACCUGACGGAAACGGAAUCGGAUGCCCGGAGCAUGAGAUACGCCCAAAACCGUCUAAACCUACUGAGCGCACCCCGAACAUGCCCAUUUUUCGGCGUUCAAACCGCCGCGCAGCUACCCCCCCAUCCCGAUGCCCCCGGAACCCUGGUCCCGCGGGACCCGACGGAAACGGAAUCGGAGGCCCGGAUCAUGAGUUACGGCCCCUUCUUUGC
rnacentral:lncRNA from 1 species